UACGGAGGGUGCGAGCGUUGUCCGGAAUCACUGGGCGUAAAGGGCGCGUAGGCGGCCUGAUAAGUAGGGGGUGAAAUCCUGCGGCUUAACCGCAGGGCUGCCUUCUAAACUGUCAGGCUCGAGCACAGUAGAGGCAGGUGGAAUUCCCGGUGUAGCGGUGGAAUGCGUAGAGAUCGGGAAGAACAUCAGUGGCGAAGGCAAUCACCUGGGCCUGAACUGACACUGAGACACGAAAGCGUGGGUAGCAAACAGG
rnacentral:rRNA from 1 species